UAAGGUUGCCUUGCUCUUGCA
rnacentral:miRNA from 1 species